rnacentral:rRNA from 1 species
GACGAACGCUGGCGGCGUGCUUAACACAUGCAAGUCGAGCGGAAAGGGCCUGCUUUUGUGGGGUGCUCGAGUGGCGAAAGGGUGAGAAACACGUGAGUAACCUGCGCUUGACUUUGGGAUAACUUCAGGAAACUGGGGCUAAUACAUGAUAGGAGCUCCUGAAACAUGGUGGGGGUUGGAAAGUUUCGUCGGUUUGGGAUGGACUCGCGGCUUAUCAGCUUGUUGGUGGGGUAGUGGCUUACCAAGGCAUUGACGGGUAGCCGGCCUGGGAGGGUGACCGGGCACAUUGGGACUCAGGUAGGGCCCAGACGCCUACGGGAGGCAGCAGUGGGGAAUAUUGCACAAUGGGCGGAAGCCUGAUGCAGCAACGCCGCGUGCGGGAUGACGGUCUUCGGGUUGUAAAGCGCUUUCGCCUGUGACGCAGCGUGAGUGACGGUAAUGGGUAAAGAAGCACCGGCUAACUACGUG